rnacentral:lncRNA from 1 species
AAUUUCUUCUCAGAAAGAGUGGUGAGGCACUGGAAGUGGCUGCCCAGGGAGGUGAUGGAUCCACUGUCCAGGGAGGUGUUCAAGAGACAUGGAGAUGUGGCCCUGAGGGACGUGGGCAUGGUGGGGAUGGGUUCAUGGUUGGACUAGAUGAUCUUAGUGGUCUUUUCCAACCUUAAUGAUUCUAUGAUUUUAUGAAUCCCCACUCCCCUCCUGUCAGACUAGGAGGAUGACGUACAGACAUCACAGGGCAGCUCAUAGGUAUAGAGGUCGGAGGCAAAGGCCGCCUCUGUGCCGCCCUCUGGGUCAAAGAUCAAUCCCACAGCAUUCCUGAAAAGAGAGAAGUGAAUGUGUAACCCGGACAACGUUGCCAAAUUCCUUCUGACCAUUCUAUGAGCUGCAAUGCACAUCAAAAUCCAUCAUGGCUGCUGCGUCCAACUACCUAUGUGAGAUGGUUGCAUGCUGAAGAAUUUAUACUGCAGUUUUACAUACCCCAAGCAUGAAAAACACAGUGCAAAGCCAAACUUCCUGGGACUUACUCCACAGCAGUUUUGAUUUCAGAUGGAUGCUGCAUUCAGACAGGGCAGGACAGAGGGUGCACUCAAGACACGGGGCGGUGCAUUCGGUCACUCCGAACUUUCAAGGAGAACCUUUUUCCCGAGCGGAUUGCUCAUUGCCAGGCACAUGCACAGCGUGAUGAAUCCUGAAUUGACAAACCGCAAACGCGCUCACUGAGCCAUCGGCGCGAGCUGCUUCCACGCACUGAGCUCAGAGAGGAUGGCACUCACUGCCCUGCACCUUCCAAAAGGGCACCACAGUUCCAUCCCGUUGCCCGAGGACAGUCUACGGCUGCACAGCACGCUGCCAUCCUACACGGAAACCCUUUGCUCCGCCCAGUGCGCCGCAUGGGAACAUCUGGCCAUUUGCAGAAGCUGCUCUUGUAGCGCUCGGCGCCCGAGUAUCUCUUCCCUACAAACUGUUUUCAUUUUACCAGAAAGAAACCCAAUUUCCUGAUUUUUUAAACAGUCUUCGUAAUGUAAUCAAAUUGCGAUGAUUACUGGGCAGCAAUUUCAAAAAGCCCUGAAAGUGCCGCUCCGAUGUUGCAGUGAAUUGUUGUUACGUGGAGAAAAUUUUGUAAACACUUUAAAUAAAAUGCUUUUAAUUCAAU